CCCCUUUCCAGACCUCAUUUAAGGGUUGGCAGUGGAGGUAAGGGUUUCUUGCUGGAGAUCCUUGUGCGUGUGAGGCCUUUUGAAGGAGGCAUCGCAUGCUAUAAAUACUACACAUGCUAGCACAAUUGCCAGAGAAGUGAGGAAAGAAAAUUUCUUGAUCUGGUUGUUUACCCAGUGCCCCCUGAAGCAUGACUUCAAACUCUUCCCUCUGAGAGAUUCUAGAAUCAGACCAUGUUGACAGAAAGAUGGAAAGGACAAUUACAAGGAGAAUCUGAAUUUUUUCUCAAAUGUUUUUAUAGUCAUCUUUACUGUAAUCACAGGCAUGCUCUGGGAUACACAGCAGUGUUCUGCCUUCAGGGCUUUGAACUCAGGAUAAACAAGAGAAACAAAAUCGAUUCAUGAGAUUUUAUUUUUACUUCAGUAUGCUAACACUAAAGGUUUCUUCUCUUGCUGCAUCCUGAGACUUCCCUUGAGCCAAAAUUGUUUGGUUUCAUCCUUCAGUGGCUAACUCUUAG
ensembl:lncRNA